UCCUGCACAGAUUAUCACUAUAUGCGAAGUGCUCUGUAUUUCAGUUUAUGAAAAAGCACCUAAGUAUCCAUAUAUAACGACUAUAUGAAUUUGAAAUGAAAUAUACUAUACUCUAUUUUUGUGUGUAAAUCGUCACAGUUGUUUGUGGUGGACUACAGUGCUAUAUGAGGUAUUUAUGGAUUCAUAUACUGUAUUUUUAUGUUCUGUGAACGCUCUAAAAGACUCUGGGUUGAGGUCAGUGAUAAAGAUAAAAUAUUGGAUGGAGUUUGAAACAAACACAAGCAUGGAACCAAACAAUUCAACUAACUGUAACAUGGAGUUCAGUUACAUUUGUUAAAUGUUGAAUAAAGUAUAAAUAAAACUAUUAAGAAUAUGUAUUUAUCAGUUUGCCCUAUUUCAUCUAUUCACAACAACUGUGUGUUUGCCUGUUUGCCAUAGAAGGUUUAUAGAACCUCUCCCUAUGGCUGUGACUGGUGAACUAAAGGGUACACUCAAUAUGGCUGACCUGGUAGAGGAUUUCCAUUCUAGAGAUUAUAUUUCUAUGGCUAGCCUGCUUUCUCACAGUACAAGAUUAGUAUGUGACAGGCGAGCCGACUGAGAGAUGACGAGCAGCAGACGAUCGANNNNNNNNNNUAAUAGUGAAUACUGUAUACACCGCUCUGUUAGUGAAUACUGUAUACAGUAUACUCUGUUAAUAGUGAAUACUGUAUACACCACUCGGUUAGUGAAUACUGUUUACACCACUCUGUUAGUGAAUACUGUAUACACCACUCUGUUAG
rnacentral:lncRNA from 13 species